CCUACGGGAGGCAGCAGUGGGGAAUUUUGGACAAUGGGCGCAAGCCUGAUCCAGCCAUUCCGCGUGAGUGAAGAAGGCCUUCGGGUUGUAAAGCUCUUUCGGCAGGGAAGAAACGGUGCGGGCCAAUACCCCGCACUAAUGACGGUACCUGAAGAAGAAGCACCGGCUAACUACGUGCCAGCAGCCGCGGUAAUACGUAGGGUGCGAGCGUUAAUCGGAAUUACUGGGCGUAAAGCGUGCGCAGGCGGUUUCGUAAGACAGAUGUGAAAUCCCCGGGCUCAACCUGGGAACUGCGUUUGUGACUGCGAGACUCGAGUGCGGCAGAGGGGGGUGGAAUUCCACGUGUAGCAGUGAAAUGCGUAGAGAUGUGGAGGAACACCGAUGGCGAGGGCAGCCCCCUGGGUCGACACUGACGCUCAUGCACGAAAGCGUGGGGAGCAAACAGGAUUAGAUACCCUGGUAGUCCACGCCCUAAACGAUGCCAACUAGGUGUUGGGGAAGGAGACUUCCUUAGUACCGAAGCUAACGCGUGAAGUUGGCCGCCUGGGGAGUACGGUCGCAAGAUUAAAACUCAAAGGAAUUGACGG
rnacentral:rRNA from 1 species